rnacentral:lncRNA from 1 species
GGAGCUUGUUGGUUGGGUCAAGAAUGAACCGACGCAUGACGGCAUGCUGAUCCUGGGUUUCUAGUCGUCCUUUUUAACCUGCAAAGAAGCAUUUGCAGACGUUGUCUCAUGGGUACCGCUUGCCAACUUUGGAGCCAGGUUCACAGAGGCUCUGAUGCUUUUUGGUUGAUUGCUGGUGAGAAUGGCCGGUGGUGGCUGCAGUGGUAGCCUGAGGAAGGCCGAGCUGCCCUCCCUGGGAAUCACUCAGAUGCCCCAAGAUGUCCAUUGGGAAGCUCCCAGGACAGCACUUUUUAUACAGAGGACACCGCCUCGGCCCCACGUCCUUAGAGGCCAGAGCACAUCUGAAAACUGCAAUCACAGCCGUCCGCUGGAAAAACGUUUCGAAGCACAGUGGCCAGCGAGCGAGCACGUGGCUACUCCCUGUUGCAUGUCAAAUCCACACAGAUGUCAGCGGCAGCUGCUCGGCAGCCCAGCCCUGGGCCUGGGUGGGUUCAUGUCCAAUCUUGUUCGAUCACUAGAUGAUUCUAACAUCGAAAUAAACCUCUUUUUAUAUGGCGUUACUGUUCUUUUUAAAUCAUGGUUCUUAAAGAUAA